GGUAUAAUGCAAUACAUGAAUGACCAUGGUUGUGCAAUUGUACCGGCAAUUCGAGUUUAAAUGUAUGUAGUCACGCCAUGUGAUACAUUGGCUCUCCCACAUCACGGGUAUAAUGCAAUACAUGAAUGACCAUGGUUAAUUGUGGAAUAGGACAGUCAAAUUCAAUUUCUAAAUUUGAGAGGAACCAAGUUUCGUCAAUGAUCCAUGCAAGUUGUCUUGUAUUUUGAUGUAUAUAUUGUGGUGCUUAUUCAAUCAUUGGGAACUAACGAAUGGAUGA
rnacentral:lncRNA from 1 species